rnacentral:rRNA from 1 species
UACGAAGGGUGCAAGCGUUACUCGGAAUUACUGGGCGUAAAGCGUGCGUAGGUGGUGAGUUAAGUCUGUCGUGAAAGCCCCGGGCUCAACCUGGGAAUGGCGAUGGAUACUGGCUCGCUAGAGUGCGGUAGAGGAGUGUGGAAUUCCUGGUGUAGCGGUGAAAUGCGCAGAUAUCAGGAGGAACACCUAUUGCGAAGGCAGCUCGCUGGGACGUAACUGACGCUGAGACGCGAAAGCGUGGGGAGCAAACAGG